UCCGAGCUGGGUAACUCUAGCUUGUAACCCAAGUGGGGGCAUCAAGGUGAUGGAACAUGGCUAUGGAUGUGCUCUGCUAGGUUGGUAGUUGCACCAUGUUGGCGUGCCCACUCUACCCACUCCAAGUUGAUAGUUGAGGCAUGAUGCUUGGGCUAAGGCUCAGGUGUCAUGACUCCUAGACAAGAGGGCAUAGCGUGAGGUUGGUUUCACAGAGCAGCGAGCACCUCUGGCUCCUAACAGUGGAGGGAUCACAUGCUACUGCACUUUCAUCCCAUUAUAGCCUAGCUAGCCAAGCUACUUGAACCAUCACUUUU